rnacentral:rRNA from 1 species
GAUGAACGCUGGCGGCGUGCCUAAUACAUGCAAGUCGAGCGAACGGACGAGAAGCUUGCUUCUCUGAUGUUAGCGGCGGACGGGUGAGUAACACGUGGAUAACCUACCUAUAAGACUGGGAUAACUUCGGGAAACCGUAGCUAAUACCGGAUAAUAUUUUGAACCGCAUGGUUCAAAAGUGAAAGACGGUCUUGCUGUCACUUAUAGAUGGAUCCGCGCUGCAUUAGCUAGUAGGUAAGGUAACGGCUUACCAAGGCAACGAUGCAUAGCCGACCUGAGAGGGUGAUCGGCCACACUGGAACUGAGACACGGUCCAGACUCCUACGGGAGGCAGCAGUAGGGAAUCUUCCGCAAUGGGCGAAAGCCUGACGGAGCAACGCCGCGUGAGUGAUGAAGGUCUUCGGAUCGUAAAACUCUGUUAUUAGGGAAGAACAUAUGUGUAAGUAACUGUGCACAUCUUGACGGUACCUAAUCAGAAAGCCACGGCUAACUACAUG